rnacentral:lncRNA from 1 species
UUUUGCUUUUACAGGGCUCAAUCAUAUUUAAAAAAUGACAAAAGAUUGUAUGGUUACGAAAUGAAAAAAUUGAUGAAAAGGAUGAAUCUAUGUAUCAAUGAUCUUCUCAGGAAUUGUUUUUCAGACGGUAAAUUUUAUUGCUUUUAAAAAUGUUAGUCUGUUUUUUUUUUGUUUUUAAAAACAUGAUGUAUAACCUAUUCUGCUUGAAUCCAGUAUUCAAUCCAUGAAAGCAAAAAAAUGUGAUUUAAUGAGACUGAAAUAUUUUUAUGUAAAUACCUAUUAGUUAAUACGUGAUAAACACGUGAUAAAUCAGUUUAUUGUUUUCU